rnacentral:rRNA from 1 species
AACGAACGCUGGCGGCAUGCCUAACACACGCAAGUCGAACGCGUGGAGCGAUCCGCGAGUGGCGCACGGGUGAGUAACGCGUGGGAACCUGCCCUGGAGUGUGGGAUAACCCGGCGAAAGCCGGGCUAAUACCGCAUACGACCUGAGGGUGAAAGAUUUAUCGCUCUAGGAGGGGCCCGCGUCGGAUUAGCCAGUUGGUGAGGUAAUGGCUCACCAAGGCGAUGAUCCGUAGCUGGUCUGAGAGGAUGAUCAGCCACACUGGGACUGAGACACGGCCCAGACUCCUACGGGAGGCAGCAGUGGGGAAUAUUGGACAAUGGGGGCAACCCUGAUCCAGCAAUGCCGCGUGGGCGAUGAAGGCCUUCGGGUUGUAAAGCCCUUUUGCACGCGACGAUGAUGACGGUAGCGUGAGAAGAAGCCCCGGCUAACUUCGUGCCAGCCGCCGCCGUAA